rnacentral:sRNA from 1 species
GUUUACAUAAAGAAAA